CUUGCGGCAUCGGAACAUUCUAACAGCAAAGGCGACGUGGGCCGCCACCGGCGAGCCGAGAGCAGCGGCGUCCAGCCGCACGGGAGCAGCAAUCGCGGUGUCAUCUGAACUUCUCACUCCGUAAUGGCGUAAUUAACUUCAUUGAUACGGCAGAUUGAACUUGUCACACAGAAAUUGAGGAGUUUAGGGGCUUUCUCCGUGGCAAGCAGAUUUGGGGAUCCAAAUUACUGAAAUCUUUCAAUGGAAUUUGGGAAGAAUUUGGAAAAAAAAAAUACUGAAGGACGCGACAUCUUCGGUCAGUAGUUCAGUAAUACUACUGUGCUUGAAAUACCAAAUUACUGAACUAAAAAAACCAACAGACGACUAGAUUAACUACUCGAUUUAGAUUAUCAAUCUCAGUAAUAGAAAAAAAUUGCACAAGCUCGGCAGUUUUAGUUUUAGUAAUUUUAGUUACCGAGCUCUAUUCAAUAGUAUAUAGUUCAGUAGUAGUCGAGUAUUUCGUUCUUUGAUCCAGUAGUUCAGUAGUGUACAGUAAUUAGCCUUUUCAAACUAUGCUUAGCUCAGCUUAGCUGGAUUACUGGAUUGCUAACUAUUUAUUACCGCAUCUCUUGAUUACUGAAUCCAAAGCAUACGGAUGCUUUAUGUUGUUUUUCGCUCCAUGUUUUUUUUUGCACCAAAAAUGUAUUACCGAUGCUCUCUUGUAAUAUUGGCACCACAAAUUGUCAGAAAAUGCAUUUGUUCCAUAGUUCAUGAGGCCAAAUUUGAUUUACUGGAUGCAAAUACAUUGAAGCAUGAUGGGUGCAAAAACCAAUGGUUUGUGCUAGAACAGCGAGGGAUGGACGGCGUAACUUUUUAUGUGGAUUGUGCUUCAGCAUAACCACAAGCUCGUCCCUGCAACGCGCAUGGCGAAAUGUAUACGGGCGCACAAGGCAAAAGACCCAGCAAAGUUAGAGCGGAGCUGUGAAGACGCGAAUGCUAGGGGAUUGCCACUGAUUUUGCUGUGAUUGGGCUCUCGUACCGAAAAAUUUCACAGCCCCCUUCAUUUUGAUAAGUAAUUUUGACCAAUCUCAAGGAGCUCAGAAGUUCAUGGCGCUGUUUUUUUAUUCGUGUGUGUUUCAAGUGAUCAAGUUCAGUAAUCUGCCCCGCUCUAAAAUCUCAGAUGCCUUGUGUUAUUCCAGUAAUACAUGGUUCUUUGGUAGUUGCAUUUCUGAAAAUAAAGAAUGCCGAUAAUUACUGAGCAUGUAUGAGUAGAUGUGUGCUUGAAAUGUGCGCAGUGUUGCUAUACAUCUGCUUUGGUA